GGGGGAUCCCAAAGGGUGCGCUCCAGCCCCCAACCCAGGCACUGGGACUCUGGUGGCACCCUGGGUGGCAGGCAAGCCUUGAAAUCAAGUGCACGAGCCUUGGAAAGGAGGACCGGGAGAGUUAUGGCAUUUAUGAAUGAAGAAGAGAAAGAGAAUCACUCGGAUGGGAAAAGUUAACUGGAUUGUUCCCACCUGCAUGGAUCACCGGAAGCAACUUAGCCGUCUCGCCUUGCGGCCUGGAACCCCUGGCAAUUUCCGGAGCACCGGCAAGAGACUUUUGCACAGUUUCUGCUUGGAGUCUACCGACUGUCUGUCUCAGAGGUCUGGACAGCUGCUUGUUACAUUUGGCUCACGCUAGCUUAAAAAAGGAAUUUAUGGACCUUACUGCAGAACGUCCCAAUUCUUCAGGCCAAGGAAAAGUGUACUGGCUCCUGUCCUGGAUCAACUCAGAAAAUGAAACACAUCGGAUUCUGUCCAGGCCGGGCACAGCAACCUGGCCCAUCCAUGUGGAGCCUGCAGUGACCACUUCCGCUGUCUGCACAAAACUGGAGGGAGGCUGGGGGUGCUCCAAGUAUAAGUUUCCUCAUCAGCAAACCGGAAAGAGAAAGACCGACCUGGAGGCUGGUUAUGGGGAUAAAAUAAAUAUGUCCUUAUAUAUGUGUAUAAAGCCCCAGCACAAACAGCAGUCGCCGCAUGGGUCAGGGAGGCACUGCUUGGAGCCUUAUGUGACCGUGUUCUCACAUUAUCUUCCAACUGGUUUGGGAGACAGGUACUGCUAUGAUCUCUGUAUUACACAGAAGCAAACUGAAGCUCAGAGUGGCCGCUCACUUCACUCCGAACAGAAGGUGCUUGAGCUCUGUGCUGAUAGAUGGAAUCCCAGAUUUUCCAUUUAACUUUUGAUGUUGUGUCGUGGGAGUGGUGUUCCACCUUUGGAGGGUUUUAAGGACUCUUUAUUAACCAGCAAGGGUUCUUGUGCCUUUAAGGAGGAGUGAUUGAGAGGCACCUGCAAGGCCGGUGGAGGCUGCUCUGGAGGCCUGCCUCUUCCAGCCCACAGGCCCUGCUUCCUGGAACUGGUGUGGGUCACUCAUUCCAGUUCGCCUCUGAAACUAUUUUCAUGACAGUAAGCUGCUACCUCAAGAAACAGCAACAGUAGGGAUUUUGCCUGUCAGGUAAGGUGCUUGGGGAGUGAAGGCUGUGGUCAGGAUCCAAGCAGGAAGCCUGAGUUCAUGUCUAUUCUUCACCGAGCAUGGCCAAGUCCAUUUGAGUCCAUCUCCAGAAGACAUGUCAAAAUCACCCACUUAUCUCCAUCUUCAACUCCUCCCAGGUCACCACCUUAUCUUCCUUAGAUGACUGCACUAGCUUCCUGACUGGUUUCCCUAAAACCCAUUCAUUUAUCUAUCCCUUCUACCAUUUCUCCCACCAAACAUCCAUCUCACCACCCACCAUCCUGCCACUUAUCUUUCCCUCCCUCCCUCAUUCCCUUCCUCCAUCUAUCUCUCCAUCCAUCCAUCCAUCCAUCCAUCCAUCCAUCCAUCCACCCACUAAUAUGUAUUUAGUGGUUACAAUGUCCCAAGCACUGUAUGGGUCCCAGUGUAGGUGGAAAAGGAAACAGAUUUCCUGACCUCAAACAAAACAAUAAAUUUCAAAGUAAGAAGCCCCACGAGGGAGGAAGUGUAGGCUGUCUUGAAAGAGGAUGAUAUCAGGAGACAUAUAUGGAGAGGGCUUGGAGGAGGUGAUGCGCCUCACCAGGAGGUGAUAUACUGAUAGAGGGACUAUAUAAUUUAUUGAUCAAACGGGGCCAUUUUGGGGAGUGAGAGGAGGAGCUAUUAAACAUUUUUUCAGGGCACCAGGUGCAUGUCAGGACUGGCCAGGUAAACUGAGCUGCAUGGCUACCUCCUACAAGCCAAGGUUCACAGCAUGAGCUGAGAAAGGGGCAAGGAGGAGAGAAAUGCCCCUUCCUUUCCUUGGGGAGAGCCUGCAAACCUACAUUUAAAAGAACUAGGAGAAGGCUGGGUCCGGUGGCUCACGCCUGUAAUCCCAGCUCUUUGGGAGGCUGAGGUGGGUGGAUCAUGAGGUCAGGAGUUCAAGACCAGCCUGGCCAAUAUGGUGAAAUCCCAUCUCUACUAAAAAAUACAAAAAUUAGCUGGAGGUGGUGGCGUGCGCCUAUAGUCCCAGCUACUCAGGAGGCUGGGGCAGGAGAAUCGCUGGAACUAGGGAGGCAGAGGUUGCAGGGAGCCGAGAUCAUGCCACUGCACUCCAGCCUGGGUGAC
ensembl:lncRNA APCDD1L-DT APCDD1L divergent transcript